rnacentral:rRNA from 1 species
GACGAACGCUGGCGGCGUGCUUAACACAUGCAAGUCGAACGAUGAACUUGGAGCUUGCUCUGGGGGAUUAGUGGCGAACGGGUGAGUAACACGUGAGUAACCUGCCCUGGACUCUGGAUAACUUCGAGAAAUCGGAGCUAAUACCGGAUAGGACCUUGCACCGCAUGGUGUGGGGUGGAAAGUUUUUCGGUUUGGGAUGGACUCGCGGCCUAUCAGCUUGUUGGUGAGGUAAUGGCUCACCAAGGCGGCGACGGGUAGCCGGCCUGAGAGGGUGACCGGCCACACUGGGACUGAGACACGGCCCAGACUCCUACGGGAGGCAGCAGUGGGGAAUAUUGCACAAUGGGCGCAAGCCUGAUGCAGCAACGCCGCGUGCGGGAUGACGGCCUUCGGGUUGUAAACCGCUUUUAGUAGGGAAGAAGCCUUCGGGUGACGGUACCUGCAGAAAAAGGACCGGCUAACUACGUGCCAGCCGCCGCUGUAAUAC